GAUGAACGCUGGCGGCGUGCCUAAUACAUGCAAGUCGAGCGAACGGACGAGAAGUUUGCUUUUCUGAUCUUAGCGGCGGACGGGUGAGUAACAUGUGGAUAACCUACCUACCAGACUGGGAUACCCUCGGAACACCGGAGCUUAUACCGGAUAAUCUUUUGAACCACCUGGAUCAACAGUGAAAGACGGUCUUGCUGUAUCAUCUAGCUGGCUCCGCGCUGCAUUAGCUAGUUGGUAAGGUAACGGCUUACCAAGGCAACGAUGCAUAGCCGACGUGAGAGGGUGGUCGGCCACACUGGAACGGAGACGCGGUCCAGACUCCUACGGGAGGCACCAGUAGGGAAUCGGCCGUAAUGGUCGGGAGCCUGACGGAGCAGCGCCGCGUGAGUGAUGAAGGUCUUCGGAGCGUAAAACUCGGUUAUUAGUUAAGAACAUAUGUGUAAGGAACUGUGCACAUAUUGACGGUACCUAAUCAGAAAGCCACGGCUAACUACGUG
rnacentral:rRNA from 1 species